GAUGAAUAACGUAGCGAAAUGCGAUACUUGGUGUGAAUUGCAGAAUCCCGUGAACCAUCGAGUCUUUGAACGCAAGUUGCGCCCGAAGCCACUAGGCCGAGGGCACGCCUGCCUGGGCGUCACACGCCGUUGCCCCCCCAUCUACUCCUUCGGGAUUGCGGGGGGGCGGAUGAUGGCCUCCUGUGCGCCUAGCCGCGCGGUUGGCAUAAAUACCAAGUCCUCGGCGACGCACGCCACGACAAUCGGUGGUUGCGAAACCUCGGUUGCCCGUCGUGUGCGUUCGUCGCGCAUCGAGGGCUCGAAAAAAUGCUCGGCUCCGGCUGGGCUUUCAACGCGACCCCAGGUCAGGCGGGGUUACCCGCUGAAUUUAAGCAUAUCAAUAAGCGGAGGA
rnacentral:misc_RNA from 1 species